UACGUAGGUGACUAGCGUUGUCCGGAUUUACUGGGCGUAAAGGGCUCGUAGGCGGCCAACUAAGUCAGACGUGAAAUCCCUCGGCUUAACCGGGGGAACUGCGUCUGAUACUGGAUGGCUUGAGUUCGGGAGAGGUGAGUGGAACUGCGAGUGUAGAGGUGAAAUUCGUAGAUAUUCGCAAGAACACCAGUGGCGAAGGCGGCUCACUGGCCCGAUACUGACGCUGAGGCACGAAAGCGUGGGGGAGCAAACAGGG
rnacentral:rRNA from 1 species